AAGGUUGACCUACUUUCAGAGAAGAAGAAAAGGAUUGAGGAGAAGGUUGCGUUUAAAGGUUUGAAUGCAGCGGUUAGGUUUAAAAAAGCAACACUGAAGAAACAAAAACAACCAGAACCUGAGAUACCAAAGGAGAAGGAGAAAGUAGGUGUUCUGGGAGUGAUUAAGGAUGAAUUGAAGGAUCCAAGCAGAGAUUGUAAAAACUUUGAUCCAGGUAAGCGUGCCCGGGAACUGUUUGAUGCGCUUGAUGACGACGGGAACGGUGUUCUUACUGAAGAUGAAUUCAUUCAGGG